GAGAGAGAUUGGAGAGAAAGAUAGAGAUAGAGAAUGCGCGGUGUUUUUCUUUCGUACAAUAUUAUACGAUCGAGUUACGAAUAGGGCUUAAAGGUUUGUAAGCGUAAUCGCAUAAACGAGGCAGAUCUGAGCGUGUGCGUUCAACGAAUGUAUAUCGUGAUACUUGCACGUGCACAUCACAUCAGUCAACGAUUCGUACAUGCACAACGUACAAACGCGAAACGACCAAGUUGUGGUCGAGAGGGACAUCAGCCUGUCUCCGUCAAUGAAAUAGUUAGAUCUGUCAGUGCCAACUAUCGCCUCGUUCUCGGUGGAGCCUUUUACAUUUUAUCUAUCGCGUUGCUCGAUCGAGUCAUUUUUUUCAAAACAGUUCUUAUACCGACCUCUUUACAUCCGUCGCGGUAGCUUCUAUUUGUCGAGAAUAAAGGGAGAAAGUGCCGCGAAUCUUGGCAAAAAACGAGUAUAUAAAGGAUAAAGGAACGAACGACUCUUGGCCUUCCACGAUAAACGAAAGAAACGGGAUCGAAAGCACGGUUCGCGGGUCACGGGAACCAAGUAUCAAAACGUAU
rnacentral:lncRNA from 1 species